rnacentral:rRNA from 1 species
CACGUGGGAACCUUCCUAGAGGUACGGAACAACUCAGGGAAACUUGAGCUAAUACCGUAUACGCUCUUGCGAGGAAAGAUUUAUCGCCUUUAGACGGGCCCGCGUCGGAUUAGCUAGUUGGUGGGGUAACGGCCUACCAAGGCGACGAUCCGUAGCUGAUCUGAGAGGAUGAUCAGCCACACUGGGACUGAGACACGGCCCAGACUCCUACGGGAGGCAGCAGUGGGGAAUCUUGGACAAUGGGCGCAAGCCUGAUCCAGCCAUGCCGCGUGAGUGAAGAAGGCCUUCGGGUUGUAAAGCUCUUUUGCCAGGGACGAUAAUGACGGUACCUGGAGAAUAAGCACCGGCUAACUACGUG